rnacentral:rRNA from 1 species
UAGUCCACGCCGUAAACGAUGAGUACUAGCUAUUGGAGGUAUUGACUCCUUCAGUGGCGCAGCUAACGCAUUAAGUACUCCGCCUGGGAAGUACGGUCGCAAGACUAAAACUCAAAGGAAUUGACGGGGGCCCGCACAAGCGGUGGAUUAUGUGGUUUAAUUCGAAGCAACGCGCAGAACCUUACCAAGACUUGAAAUCCUAGGAAUCGGGCGUAAUGGCCUGAGUGCUCGCAAGAGAAUCUAGUGACAGGUGCUGCAUGGCUGUCGUCAGCUCGUGUUGUGAAAUGUUGGGUUAAGUCUCGCAACGAGCGCAACCCCUAUCUUUAGUUGCCAGCAUUAAGUUGGGCACUCUAGAGAGACUGCCCGGGUUAACCGGGAGGAAGGUGGGGAUGACGUCAAAUCAUCAUGGGCCCUUACGCCCAGGGGCGACACACGUGCUACAAUGGACGGUACAGCGAGUAGCGAACCUGCAAAGGUCAGCCAAUCUCUAAAA